AUUGAACGCUGGCGGCAUGCUUUACACAUGCAAGUCGAACGGUAACAGGCCGCAAGGUGCUGACGAGUGGCGAACGGGUGAGUAAUGCAUCGGAACGUGCCCAGUCGUGGGGGAUAACUACUCGAAAGAGUAGCUAAUACCGCAUACGAUCUAUGGAUGAAAGCGGGGGACCGUAAGGCCUCGCGCGAUUGGAGCGGCCGAUGUCAGAUUAGGUAGUUGGUGGGGUAAAGGCUCACCAAGCCAACGAUCUGUAGCUGGUCUGAGAGGACGACCAGCCACACUGGGACUGAGACACGGCCCAGACUCCUACGGGAGGCAGCAGUGGGGAAUUUUGACAAUGGGCGCAAGCCUGAUCCAGCAAUGCCGCGUGCAGGAAGAAGGCCUUCGGGUUGUAAACUGCUUUUGUACGGAACGAAACGGCUCUGGUUAAUACCCGGGGCUAAUGACGGUACCGUAAGAAUAAGCACCGGCUAACUACGUG
rnacentral:rRNA from 1 species